UGGGGAAUUUUCCGCAAUGGGCGGAAGCCUGACGGAGCAAGACCGCGUGAGGGAGGAAGGCCUUUGGGUUGUAAACCUCUUUUCUCAGGGAAGAAGAAAGUGACGGUACCUGAGGAAUCAGCCUCGGCUAACUCCGUGCCAGCAGCCGCGGUAAUACGGAGGAGGCAAGCGUCAUCCGGAAUUAUUGGGCGUAAAGCGUCCGCAGGUGGUGAUUCAAGUCCGCUGUCAAAGACCGGGGCUCAACCCUGGGCCGGCAGUAGAAACUGAAGCACUAGAGUUCGGUAGGGGUAGAGGGAAUUCCCAGUGUAGCGGUGAAAUGCGUAGAGAUUAGGAAGAACACCGGUGGCGAAAGCGCUCUGCUAGGCCGCAACUGACACUGAGGGACGAAAGCUAGGGGAGCGAAUGGGAUUAGAUACCCCCGUAGUCC
rnacentral:rRNA from 1 species